rnacentral:rRNA from 1 species
CAACGAAUCUUCCGCAAUGCGCGAAAGCGUGACGGAGCAAUGCCGCGUGCAGGAUGAAGCCCUUCGGGGUGUAAACUGCUGUCAGGGUUUAGCAACACAAUGAGCAGACCCAAAGGAAGGGCCGGCUAACUUCGUGCCAGCAGCCGCGGUAAUACGAAGGGCCCAAGCGUUGCGCGGAAUCACUGGGCUUAAAGCGUACGUAGGCGGGCGCGCAGGCACCUUGUGAAAUCCCUCGGCUCAACCGAGGAACUGCUUGGUGAACCGCGUGCCUUGAGACAAGUAGGGGCUGUCGGAACGAUAGGUGGAGCGGUGAAAUGCGUUGAUAUCUAUCGGAACGCCGAAGGUGAAGACAGGCAGCUGGGCUUGUUCUGACGCUGAGGUACGAAAGCGUGGGGAGCGAACGGGAUUAGAUACCCCCGUAGUCC